AUACGUAGGGGGCGAGCGUUGUCCGGAAUGAUUGGGCGUAAAGGGCGCGUAGGCGGCCCGGUAAGUCUGGAGUGAAAGUCCUGUUUUUAAGAUGGGAAUUGCUUUGGAUACUGUCGGGCUUGAGUGCAGGAGAGGUAAGUGGAAUUCCCAGUGUAGCGGUGAAAUGCGUAGAGAUUGGGAGGAACACCAGUGGCGAAGGCGACUUACUGGACUGUAACUGACGCUGAGGCGCGAAAGUGUGGGGAGCAAACAGGAUUAGAUACCCUGGUAGUCCACACUGUAAACGAUGAAUACUAGGUGUGCGGGGACUGACCCCCUGCGUGCCGGCGUUAACACAAUAAGUAUUCCACCUGGGGAGUACGAUCGCAAGGUUGAAACUCAAAGGAAUUGACGGGG
rnacentral:rRNA from 1 species